rnacentral:rRNA from 1 species
UACAGAGGUCUCGAGCGUUAGGCGGAAUCACUGGGCUUAAAGCGUGUGUAGGCGGAUCGGUAAGUACCUUGUGAAAUCCCACAGCUUAACUGUGGAACUGCUUGGUAUACUGCCAGUCUUGAGCCAGCUAGGGGCUACCGGAACAAAUGGUGGAGCGGUGAAAUGCGUAGAUAUCAUUUGGAACGCCAACGGUGAAAACAGCUCGCUGGGGAUGCGCUGACGCUGAGACACGAAAGCCAGGGGAGCAAACGGG